GAUUGAACGCUGGCGGCAUGCCUUACACAUGCAAGUCGAACGGCAGCACGGGUGCUUGCACCUGGUGGCGAGUGGCGAACGGGUGAGUAAUACAUCGGAACAUGUCCUGUAGUGGGGGAUAGCCCGGCGAAAGCCGGAUUAAUACCGCAUACGAUCUACGGAUGAAAGCGGGGGACCUUCGGGCCUCGCGCUAUAGGGUUGGCCGAUGGCUGAUUAGCUAGUUGGUGGGGUAAAGGCCUACCAAGGCGACGAUCAGUAGCUGGUCUGAGAGGACGACCAGCCACACUGGGACUGAGACACGGCCCAGACUCCUACGGGAGGCAGCAGUGGGGAAUUUUGGACAAUGGGCGAAAGCCUGAUCCAGCAAUGCCGCGUGUGUGAAGAAGGCCUUCGGGUUGUAAAGCACUUUUGUCCGGAAAGAAAUCCUUGGCUCUAAUACAGUCGGGGGAUGACGGUACCGGAAGAAUAAGCGCCGGCUAACUACGUGCCAGCAGCCGCGGUAAUACGUAGGGUGCGAGCGUUAAUCGGAAUUACUGGGCGUAAAGCGUGCGCAGGCGGUUUGCUAAGACCGAUGUGAAAUCCCCGGGCUCAACCUGGGAACUGCAUUGGUGACUGGCAGGCUAGAGUAUGGCAGAGGGGGGUAGAAUUCCACGUGUAGCAGUGAAAUGCGUAGAGAUGUGGAGGAAUACCGAUGGCGAAGGCAGCCCCCUGGGCCAAUACUGACGCUCAUGCACGAAAGCGUGGGGAGCAAGCAGGAUUAGAUACCCUGGUAGUCCACGCCCUAAACGAUGUCAACUAGUUGUUGGGGAUUCAUUUCCUUAGUAACGUAGCUAACGCGUGAAGUUGACCGCCUGGGGAGUACGGUCGCAAGAUUAAAACUCAAAGGAAUUGACGGGGACCCGCACAAGCGGUGGAUGAUGUGGAUUAAUUCGAUGCAACGCGAAAAACCUUACCUACCCUUGACAUGGUCGGAAUCCCGCUGAGAGGUGGGAGUGCUCGAAAGAGAACCGGCGCACAGGUGCUGCAUGGCUGUCGUCAGCUCGUGUCGCGAGAUGUUGGGUUAAGUCCCGCAACGAGCGCAACCCUUGUCCUUAGUUGCUACGCAAGAGCACUCUAAGGAGACUGCCGGUGACAAACCGGAGGAAGGUGGGGAUGACGUCAAGUCCUCAUGGCCCUUAUGGGUAGGGCUUCACACGUCAUACAAUGGUCGGAACAGAGGGUUGCCAACCCGCGAGGGGGAGCUAAUCCCAGAAAACCGAUCGUAGUCCGGAUUGCACUCUGCAACUCGAGUGCAUGAAGCUGGAAUCGCUAGUAAUCGCGGAUCAGCAUGCCGCGGUGAAUACGUUCCCGGGUCUUGUAC
rnacentral:rRNA from 1 species